UACGUAGGUGGCAAGCGUUGUCCGGAAUUAUUGGGCGUAAAGCGCGCGCAGGUGGUUUCUUAAGUCUGAUGUGAAAGCCCCCGGCUCAACUGGGGAGGGUCACGCGAUACUGAUCGACUCGAAGGCAGGAGAGGGUAGUGGAAUUCCCGGUGUAGUGGUGAAAUGCGUAGAGAUCCGGAGGAACACCGAAAGCGAAGGCAGUCUCCUGGCAAGUUUCUGACGCUCAGGUGCGAAAGCUAGGGGAGCGAACAGG
rnacentral:rRNA from 1 species